AUUCCGGUUGAUCCUGCCGGAGGCCAUUGCUAGCGGAGUCCGAUUUAGCCAUGCUAGUCGUGCGAGUUCAGACUCGCGGCACCGAGCUCAGUAACACGUGGCCAAACUACCCUACAGAGACGGAUACCCUCGGGAAACUGAGGUUAACCCGUCAUACAGAUCUCAGGCUUGAAUCGCAGAGAUCACAAAAUGCCCCGGCGCUGUAGGAUGUGGCUGCGGUUGAUUAGGUAGACGGUGGGGUAACGGCCCACCGUGCCCAUAAUCAGUACAGGUUGUGAGAGCAAGAACCUGGAGACGGAAUCUGAGACAAGAUUCCGGGCCCUACGGGGCGCAGCAGGCGCGAAACCUUUACACUGCACGCACGUGCGAUAAGGGGACUCCGAGUGCGAGGGCAUAUCGUCCUCGCUUUCGUGUACCGUAGGGUGGUACACCAACAAGGGCUGGGCAAGACCGGUGCCAGCCGCCGCGGUAAUACCGGCAGCCCGAGUGAUGGCCGAUCUUAUUGGGCCUAAAGCGUCCGUAGCU
rnacentral:rRNA from 1 species